UAAUACAGAGGGUGCAAGCGUUAAUCGGAAUUACUGGGCGUAAAGCGCACGUAGGUGGCUGGGUAAGUUGGAUGUGAAAUCCCCGGGCUUAACUUGGGAAUUGCAUUCAAGACUGCCUUGCUAGAGUGUGGAAGAGGGAAGCGGAAUUCCAGGUGUAGCGGUGAAAUGCGUAGAUAUCUGGAGGAACAUCAGUGGCGAAGGCGGCUUCCUGGUCCAACACUGACACUGAGGUGCGAAAGCGUGGGGAGCAAACAGG
rnacentral:rRNA from 1 species